AAAAGCUAUUACUAGGGGGUCCUAGUUAGUGAGGUGGCGAAUUCUACUUCAGCCGCCGUCAUCGGUGUUCUCGCCGCCGGCGCCGGCAUCUUAGCUACCCAUUCCGCCGUCAUCGAUGUUUGUGCCAGUGGCGGUGGUUUCAUCUAUAGCCCUUUAGACCAAAAAAAUACUGAUUUUGAAUUUUCGAUGAUACCCAGAUGGAAGAAACAUAGCUAAGAAUGGUUUUUGUGGAUCAGAUCUGUAUUCAUCUAAUGCUGGUCUUUUCCAUAUUAAGAAUCUCGGAGCCAAUCGAUUGAAUACUCCUGCAAGUGCCCAAAAAAGUAUGACGUUGCUGAAUGGAAUCGAAAGAUAAAAGCUUAUUGCUCAUUUGAAGGAAUUGGCGCUAUGCCUCUCCCUAAAACGUUUACCAGAUUGUGCUGGCAGUAAGACAUUAUUUGUACGACCAGGGCAUGUGUAAGACAAGCUGCUUUCUUAGAUCACAAUGAUCAGUCUUCGGAAAUUGAUGAUAUAGUGGUUUGGAAGAUGAGGCAAAAAAAGCUUAUGAAGCAACCUAGUUGAAUGUUCAAAUCAAUUGACCACUUUUAUUUGGUAAUACAACUAUAGCCAAGACAAUACUUCGUUAUAAGUGCAUAACUUUUCACUUUAUUGUUUGAGCAUUGUGUUGAUUUCUCUAACUUAUUUUUCUUUGAACAAAAUUGUUUUUUCAUCGCGAAAUGCAACACCAUGCUCAGAAGUUAGAGAGUGAAAUGCUAUGCAUUUGUAAUUAUAUAUUUUCUUGGCUAGAGUUGUAUUGCCAAGUCAAGUGUUUUGAUUGAUUUGAACCUUCGAGUGAGUUGCUUCAUGAUCUUCUUAUGCCUUAGCUUCAGAACUUACCACUAUAUCAUCAAUUCUCGAAGAGUGUGGCCUACCUGAAUGCUCAGACAUUUAUCCCUUGGAAGUUUAUUGAUAUGGUUGGUCGUGUUGAAUGAUUUUAACCUGGAAAUGAACGAGACGAGGAAACCACUUGGUGUUGUAAAUCUCUAGUGUUGAGGCUUUAUUUUUGCUAGUUCUUAAAUAUGUAUAUCUUAGUUUUGUAAUUAAUUUAUGUGUGUUUAGUAUAUUUCUGUUGUUACCCCUUUGUAAUCUUUUGGAUUCAAUGAUGAAGUUGGUAUGAAAAUAUUGUAGGAUUUGUUGAAAAAGAGUGCCAUUUGUGGAUGGCUUUGAGAGUUUAACACCCCAACUAUGAGAUGUUGGUGUAAUUCUCUUCUUUUUUAUUUUACCUAAACUGUCAUCAUCUGUUGGUGUAAUUAACUUCAA